UAAGAAAGGGUAUUUUCCAAUAAGCCACAAUUGGCAACACAAUGAUAAAAAACGUAAAAGAAAGAAAGGGAACAUAGCUAAACUAUACUACGCCGGCGCCGAAAACACAAAGACCAUGUUGUGCUCCUUGUGACGAGGCCGUGAACACCAAGCCUUUUAGUUAUGGCGAAGUUGUUCGAUAGGGAGGGAGGUGCUGGCGAAACUCUUCUUCGGAUCUCAAGGCUCGAGCAAGAAUUUUUUCAGGUGAUCGCUUCUCCCAGUUGAAAACUACUUCAUUUCUGGCAAGUCAAGACUGCCAUAGGAGCAAAAGGGGGGACUGAUUCCACGCUGCUACUGUUUCUAGGUAUAGCACCACUGUUUGAAUUAGGAAUUCUGGUACUACCGAGCAUCUGGGACAAUUGGAGCUUAUUUGGGAGAGUCUUCUAUUUAAUUUUUCCAUCAUUGAAAUACCUUUAUGUACAAAUUUUCAUACAAAGACCUUUACCUUUGGCUGUGCUUUCAGGUUCCAGAUUGUCUUCCAAGUGUCUGCAUGUUGGAAACGUAGGUGGAGCUGCUCUUCUGGUGAAUAAAAAAUUUGGUAGGCAAUUUUGUAUCCUGAGUUGUUGUGAAUCCAGUAUAUCGAGUCUUCCUGUUGUUUGACAGGUAGCUGGCAUAUUGAAUGGCAUGUGCCAUGGCUGAAGUUUUGAUGAACUAGUUGUUGGUUCUACUCUCCAUUUACUGUAAUCCAUGUUAGGUUCUCAUCCCUGCACUCUUCAUUAGAAAUGUGAAAAAGGAGUUGGUCCCCAAACUAUGGAUCCUCCUAGAUUCUAACACCACCCCCACCUUGAGUAAUGAUAUGCCAUUUUAUACUCUUCUCUAGUACUUUUCGACCUUCUAGUAAGCUCUGCCACGCUCAGGAGGUUCUGAAUCCCGCCUUAGCUUCCAUAAAGGGUGUGUUUUAAAGUAUUCAUACUUGAAAAUCUUAUAGAAUAGUGAGUGAGAUUUGCUAAGCAAUCUCCAUCCCUAUUUUGCUAGCAUGGCCAAAUUAAAAGCUUUGAGGUCUUUAAAUCCUAAUCCUCCUUUUACUUUUUCUCUA